rnacentral:rRNA from 1 species
AUUGAACGCUGGCGGCAGGCUUAACACAUGCAAGUCGAGCGGGGGAAGGUAGCUUGCUACCGGACCUAGCGGCGGACGGGUGAGUAAUGCUUAGGAAUCUGCCUAUUAGUGGGGGACAACAUCUCGAAAGGGAUGCUAAUACCGCAUACGUCCUACGGGAGAAAGCAGGGGAUCUUCGGACCUUGCGCUAAUAAAUGAGCCUAAGUCGGAUUAGCUAGUUGGUGGGGUAAAGGCCUACCAAGGCGACGAUCUGUAGCGGGGCUGAGAGGAUGAUCCGCCAAACUGGGACUGAGACACGGCCCAGACUCCUACGGGAGGCAGCAGUGGGGAAUAUUGGACAAUGGGGGGAACCCUGAUCCAGCCAUGCCGCGUGUGUGAAGAAGGCCUUAUGGUCGUAAAGCACUUUAAGCGAGGAGGAGGCUACUUUAGUUAAUACCUAGAGAUAGUGGACGUUACUCGCAGAAUAAGCACCGGCUAACUCUGUGCCAGCAGCCGCCGUAA